rnacentral:antisense_RNA from 1 species
GGCGCGCCUUGGAGGGAGAGGACUUUAGGUGACGCCGCCAGGAGGCGAAAUUUCACCUGCCAGCAGCUCUGGAGGUCAAAAGAAAUGAGACUGCUGGGCUAAGAUCAAGGUGUCAACAGGGCUGUAUUCCUUCCCGAGGCUCCAGGGGAGAAUCUGUUCUCUUGCCUUUCCCAGCUUCUAGAGGUUGCCUACAUUCCUUGGCUUGCGGCCCCUUCCUCCAUCUCCGGAAUCAGUAACGAAAGAUCCAAGGCCAUAUCCUGGCUGAGUUGGCUGAGUUGAGCAGGACACUUGACAAGGAGGCUGCUGAGCCUGCAACUCGAGUGUUCUGUUUGAGGAGCUCUGUGCUUUAUCAUAGAAAUGGAUCUGGUGAGUGCAAAGCCCAGGGAAUCUAAGGCAGCAUUUGCACUGUGGUAUUUCAGCGUCAUCAGUGCUGAAUCUUCCUAACCCUAAAAAACUUACUGAGAUUGGAAAAAUAACUUUCCUACUGUUAGUCUGAAUCUCUUGAACCCCUUCUCCUACCUUCACCCACUGAAUCCAUUGUUUUUAUAGUUCAGUGCUUGACAAUGUGUUUUCUUUUUUUUUUUGAGACAAUAUCUCAGUCUGUUGUUCAGGCUGGAGUGUCAGUGGCAUGAUCAUGGCUCACUGCAGCCUCAAUCUCCCUGGGCUUUGGAGAUCCUCCUAACUCAGCCUCCCAGGUAGCUGGGACUAUAGGCAUGUGGCACCACGCCUGGCUAUUUUUUUUUUGAGACAGAGUUUCACUCUGUCACCCA